AUUGAACGCUGGCGGCAGGCCUAACACAUGCAAGUCGAGCGAUCGGCGGCCAGGUGAGUAAUGUCUGGGAAACUGCCUGAUGGAGGGGGAUAACUACUUGCAACGGUAGCUAAUACCGCAUACCCUCAGCUGUUCCCAGAUGCGAUUAGCUAGUAGUUGGGGUAACGGCUCACCUAGGCGACGAUCCCUAGCUGGUCUGCGAGGAUGACCAGCCACACUGGAACUGAGACACGGUCCAGACUCCGACGGGAGGCAGCAGUGGGGAAUAUUGCACAAUGGACGAAAGCCUGAUGCAGCAAUGCCGCGUGUAUGAAGAAGGCCUUCGGGUUGUAAAGUACUGUCAGCGGGGAGGCGUUACCGGCAGAAGAAGCACCGGCUAACUACGUGCCAGCAGCCGCGGUAAUUC
rnacentral:rRNA from 1 species